UGGGGAAUCUUGCGCAAUGGGCGAAAGCCUGACGCAGCCAUGCCGUGUGAAUGAUGAAGGUCUUAGGAUUGUAAAAUUCUUUCACCGGGGACGAUAAUGACGGUACCCGGAGAAGAAGCCCCGGCUAACUUCGUGCCAGCAGCCGCGGUAAUACGAAGGGGGCUAGCAUUGCUCGGAAUUACUGGGCGUAAAGGGAGCGUAGGCGGACAUUUAAGUCAGGGGUGAAAUCCCGGGGCUCAACCUCGGAAUUGCCUUUGAUACUGGGUGUCUUGAGUAUGAGAGAGGUGUGUGGAACUCCGAGUGUAGAGGUGAAAUUCGUAGAUAUUCGGAAGAACACCAGUGGCGAAGGCGACACACUGGCUCAUUACUGACGCUGAGGCUCGAAAGCGUGGGGAGCAAACA
rnacentral:rRNA from 1 species